UACGUAGGGGGCAAGCGUUGUCCGGAUUCACUGGGCGUAAAGGGUGCGUAGGUGGCCGGGUAAGUCUGACGUGAAAUCUCCGAGCCUAACUCGGAAACUGCAUCGGAUACUAUCCGGCUUGAGGGUUGGAGGGGGGACUGGAAUACUUGGUGUAGCAGUGAAAUGCGUAGAUAUCAAGUGGAACACCAGUGGCGAAGGCGAGUCCCUGGACAACUCCUGACACUGAGGCACGAAAGCUAGGGGAGCAAACAGG
rnacentral:rRNA from 1 species